rnacentral:misc_RNA from 1 species
GUUUGUGCACAACAACUAAUUUCUUUUUUAUUUUCAAUUGAAAUUUUGAUUUGAUCGAAUUGUGAAAUUAAAUGAUGACUUUAUUUAUAUCACAAAUUUUGAAUGACAAAUUGUUUGCUGUCGACCCAAAUUUUGGGAAAUUAUUGUGAAUGAAAUAAGAAUGUAAAUUUAUUGAUAUUUUUUAUGCUUCAAAAAUUGUUAAAAUAGUUUGAAACUGCAGUGUCAUAACCAAAUGUCUGAAUGCCUCACUAGCUUAACUAGUGGGAGGAAUUAGUUUUAUAUUCCCUCUCUGGCUGAAGUGUU